rnacentral:snoRNA from 1 species
AAACCAUGAUAAGGACACUCUAAAAUAAAGUCUUUAAAACAUUUCAUGCAUCAAGAAAAUGAUUCAUUAGGGUGCUGGCGAAACUGGAGAAUGUCGUUCCUAAGCGU